UAAUUUUCGCACGGUUUUAGAAAACUACAGUCAAAUAGAAAGCUCAUGUACGAUGACAGACGACUCUAGAUAUGGUGAUUCCAUUGGCCGUGCUGCCUGCAACAAGUUAAAAAGCAGAAAACGAGGAUGAUACCUGACUUGAAAUGCUGGCUGUCGUCAUAGUAUAGCUCAACGUGCUGUUAGCGUGAAGCAUGGAGAAGCACAUGGCUAGGCUCAUUAUAUGCAAAUACUACUUUCUUCGGGGUACAAUUUUUUUUUUGGUAUGAUGUAUUUUGCAAGUUUGGCCUUGGUUCAGAAAACACGAUGCAACCGCAUGUCAGAAGCUGAAACCUGCCCUUUCGGUAAUGCAUUUAAAAGCACAUGCCUGGUAUUGUCAGGUCAUUUGUGGUGAACGUUAUUUGGUUUCUUUAAUAAGAAGUUACUUAAUUACCUUUGAUGAACGUAUGUUUUACUGAUUUGAGGCUAAAGAUAAAAUUGCCAAUGGCCAAAAACAGUUGUACAACUUUGUGGACAAACUUGAAUCACAUAUUAACCAGGCCAACUUGGAGUCCACAUUACUAACAUGGAAACAAGAUAUUUUGACUUCUGCAAAACGUAUGUAUAGUAAUUCUUUUAUUAAUUGGUGUAAAACUCUUAGUUACGUUAAGCAAGCGCUUAAUUACAUACGUUUGUAUAUUUUUUGUUUGUAUCCAAAA